GGGUGAGUGGCCGAGUGGUUUAUGGCACUGGUCUUGAAAACCAGCGAGUCGAAAGGCUUCGGGGGUUCGAAUCCCUCCUCACCCG
rnacentral:tRNA from 2 species